rnacentral:rRNA from 1 species
GGAUUAGAUACCCUGGUAGUCCACGCCCUAAACGAUGAUUGCUAAUCGUGGGGAUUUAAUCUCCGUGGUACAGCUAACGCAUUAAGCAAUCCGCCUGGGUAGUACGGCCGCAAGGCUAAAACUUAAAGGAAUUGGCGGGAACCCACACAAGCGGUGGAGCAUCUGGUUUAAUUCGAUAAUAACCGAAGAACCUUACCAUCCCUUGCAUGUUUGUAUCGGAGUUUCUAAAAGAGAGCUCUUCCUUCGGGAGGCAUUCACAGGUGAUGCAUGGUUGUCGUCAGCUCGUGCCG